rnacentral:lncRNA from 1 species
UUCUAAGCCCUCUAAGCGACAGGUUAAGCUUUCGCCAGGGGAUCAGAUUGGCCUCAUGCGGUUGUGGUCUCGGCUUCCCUCCAGUAGAAGGAAGACUGUGGCCCAGCAAUCGAUCAUUCCUCUCCCCACGAUUCUCCCCACUCACCUUCCUCCAAGCCCAUUGAGGCCUCUGUUCAUUCAGGUCUGAGUGCUCGCCCAUGGGUGGGUUGCCCUCCCGCUGAUGGCUGAUGGCAGAGUGUUCUUGCUCAUACCCUCUGCCUCAGGCCACAGAAUCCGCCUCAGGCCACAGAAGCCCCGAAGGCCCAGCCUUGGCCUUCAGGUGGCCGCCAUUCUUUCCACCAUGCCACGCUCACCUCCACCUUCAAGCCGUCCUCGAAGGCCUGGCUGAGGUUUUUCCAUCGGCCCGACCCUGGAGAGCAGGGGGCCGGUGGAGUUGUGGAUGCCACUACCAUCCAGGCAUAAUCGUUGGCAGGAAAAAAGUCGCUGCAGCCAGAAGGGCGAGAGAGCUCCUAGCGUCAGUGCGCAGGAUAGGGACUGAGGCUGCUCUGGGCCCCGCGUCCCCCACUGCCAGCUCACUGGGCACAGGACAAGGCCGUGGUGGGUAAAGGAAUCUGACAGCAUUCCUUCAAAUACAGGAAGGAGCUGAACAAGGAUGACGUCAAUGAAUAUGCCAAACUGGACAGAGAAAACUCAUGAGACUCA